rnacentral:rRNA from 1 species
UACGGGGGGGGCAAGCGUUGUUCGGAAUUACUGGGCGUAAAGGGCUCGUAGGCGGUCAACUAAGUCGGAUGUGAAAUCCCCAAGCUUAACUUGGGAACUGCAUCCGAUACUGGAUGGCUUGAAUCCGGGAGAGGGAUGCAGAAUUCCAGGUGUAGCGGUGAAAUGCGUAGAUAUCUGGAGGAAUACCGGUGGCGAAGGCGGCAUCCUGGACCGGCAUUGACGCUGAGGAGCGAAAGCUAGGGGAGCAAACGGG